UACGAAGGGGGCUAGCGUUGUUCGGAAUUACUGGGCGUAAAGCGUGCGCAGGCGGUUUUGUAAGUCUGACGUGAAAGCCCCGGGCUUAACCUGGGAAUUGCGUUGGAGACUGCAAGGCUUGAAUCUGGCAGAGGGGGGUAGAAUUCCACGUGUAGCAGUGAAAUGCGUAGAGAUGUGGAGGAACACCGAUGGCGAAGGCAAUCCCCUGGGUCAAGAUUGACGCUCAUGCACGAAAGCGUGGGGAGCAAACAGG
rnacentral:rRNA from 1 species